AUGUCGCCCCCUCGUCGUCGUCGGCGCCUAUGUUUUUUCCCAUCUCGAUCCGUGGCGAUCCUCCACGCGGUGCACAGGACACGGCAUCCGCAUCGCUGGUGUUGGCUGCGGAAACGUCAUACGGCUGCUGCAAAUACUAGUGGAUCAAAGGCUUCGUCGGCUCAAAUAAACCAUCAUCAAGGUGGUACUGAUAUUCCUCAAGUUGCUGAGAAUAUGAAACAACAAAGUCUUUUUGACAAACUACCGGAGGACAUCUUACAUCAUAUACAUUCUCUCUUACCAAUACAAGACGCUGCUUGUGCUGCCUGUGUGUCUCAUGCAUUCCUGCGUUCAUGGAGAUGCUAUUCCAAACUCAGACUCAACGACUGUGCGCUUGGGUUGAGUCACAUAGAAUUUGAGGAAAGAAAAAUCUAUCUCAUUGACAAAGUUGACAAAAUUCUUAAAAACCAUCAUGACAAAGGGGUGAAGGUGGAGACACUUAGGCUUAUUCUUACCCCUUGCACCAAUAUCAAAGCCUCCUACCUGGACAGGUGGCUCCGAAGAACCGUUAAGUCUGGGUUUAAAGAUCUUUACUUGGAGAUGCCUUUAUCCAUGAAGAAAAUUUACAAAUUCCCGUGUUCAGUUUUGUCUGAUGAGGGAGCUGCAAGUUCAAUUCAGUUUCUUCACAUCGGCUCUUGCACUUUUCAUCCCACAUCAACACUUGGCUCCUUGGCAAGGUUGAAAACUGUAAGAUUGUCUUUUGUCCACACUACCGAGGAAGGAUUGGAGCACUUGUUUUCAAAAUCUUCUAUUCUAGAGGAGCUCAGAAUAUUCGCAUGCCAUGGGAUAAUUUGCUUGAAAAUACCUUGUACGAUGCAGCAUCUUAAGAGAUUUCAUGUUCAACGUUGCAGCAUGCUGCGGGUUGUAGAGAUUGAUGCUCCAAACCUCUGCUAUUUUAACUAUGACAGCGCUUUGCCAGAAAUCUACGUGAGAAAUUGUUCUCAACUUAAGCAUGUACAGUUAUCAUCUGCAUGCCCGUCUGGUGUUCUUUUUUAUGCUCGCACUAGUCUUCCGUCCAUUGCAAGGAAUGUUGAGAGUCUUAUUUUGGUUGGUCGUAGCGAGAAUGCCAACACUCCGUUGCUACAAUCCAAGCUACCCCACCUCAAGAACUUGGAAAUUAGACUCAAAGCAGUCCUCCCCAAAGGCUUCCCUCCAAGCUAUGACUUCUUUUCUUUGGUUUCUUUUCUUGAUGCUUCUCCUGCCUUGGAGUCUUUCACCCUACACGUAAAUGAGUAUGUCAUGACACACUAUCCUGUUGUUGGAGAUAAUGACGAAUGCCCGAGGCAGAAGCUGGACUUGUCGCAUAACCGCCUCAGACACAUGACGAUCACGGGAUUCUGUUCAGCCAAGAGCCUGGUUGAGCUCACGGUUCACAUCCUUGAGAGCACACACUCGCUUGAGCGCUUGACGCUGGACACAACCUAUGACUACAAUAGGUGUAUUCAAGGGCCUGGUACCAUUGGCAAAUGCACUACCUCAAGUAGGAUUGCCAAAUGCUGGCCGAUGAGCAAGAGAGGUGUUGACGAAGCUCAUAGAGCUGUGAAGACUGUUGGUAGAUACAUAGCUGGGAGAGUUCCAUUGGCUGUUCAAUUUGAGCUCAUGGGGCCCUGUAGUCGAUGCCAUACCGGCAGCCGGUAG
rnacentral:rRNA from 1 species